GCAUUAGUAGCUCAGUAUCAGAGCGCCGGUCUUGUAAACCGGAGUGCAGGGGUUAAACUCCCC
rnacentral:tRNA from 1 species